AUGCAUUUUCCUCCGAAACGAUCCAAGAAAAAGGAUGCUGAGGAUUUUGAGCGCUUUGCUGAAAUGAUUAGGCCCAUCUUUUUGCGUAUGCGAUUAACUGAUGUGCUCAAAACAAAUCCUUAUGCUAAAUAUAUGAAGGAUAUCAUUACUAAUAAAAGAAAGAUACCGGAAGCUGAGAUUUCCACCAUGCUUGCUAAUUGUACUUUUAAGGGUGGAAUACCAAAGAAACUUGGAGACCCCGGAGUACCUACUAUACCGUUCUCCAUUAAAAGAAAUUAUAUUAAAACUGCUUUAUGUGAUCUUGGAGCCGGUGUUAGUGUUAUGCCUCUCUCUCUUUAUAUCGUAGACUUGACUUGA
rnacentral:rRNA from 1 species